CCGCCGGGCGGGGACAGCGCCCGCUCUGCGCCAGCCUCCCUCCCGCCUUCCUUUCCCCUCCCCUCCCACCCCGACCGGCUGCCUGCGGGGCGGGGCAGCCGCCGCCCCCCGUCUUGUCGAGGUCGCCGCACCUGCCCGGCCCGCAGGUUGUUAUGGCUGGAAGAGACCUCUGGAGAUCAUCCAGUCCAACUCCCCUGCCAAGGCAGGUUCACCUAGAGCAGGUGACACAGGAACGGAUCCAGGUGGGUUUUGAAUGUCUCCACAGAAGGAGACUCCACGCCCUCCCUGGGCAGCCUGUUUUCCAGUGCUCUGCCACCCUCCGUGCCAAGAAGUUCUUCCUCAUGUUGAGGUGGAACUUCAUGUGUUUUAGUUUAUGGGCAUUGCUCCUCGUCCUGUCGCUGGGCACCACCACACCGCGAAAAAGAGUCUGACUCCAUCCUCUUGGCACACGCCCUUGAGAUAUUUACCUGCAUUUCCUUGUGCCUCCUGGUGAGCUCAGGCGUCAGUGAGGCUGCAGGCGCUGGGUAGUGGCAUUCCCUUGUGCCUAGCAGAGUUUGCAGACUUGUAGUGGGAUGAGAAUCUUAGUAUAAAAUAUGGCUUAGAAAGUCAUGGUCAGCAUCUUUGCAAAUGACUGGUUUAUGACAGACAAGAAAACCCCAAGCCAAUGUUUAAAACUGAUCUAAAAUGCACUUUUUCCCAUGUAUAUCCACCCGGAGCUCCUUUCAUGUUAUUGGAUGUGGAGUAGUUGACAGUGUCAACUCUGAAAGAUAUGCUGAAGAGAACGUUGUUGUACACCUGUAGGAGCAAAAGAACUCUCGGAUUGUGCCUUCACUGGCAUUUCAUUUUGGCUAAGAAGUUUCCCUUUUAAACAAAUCUGAUGGUUUCCACUUCAAUGUGCACACUGGAGCAGAGUUGGAGGUUUGAUACUUUCAGAUGAUGCCAAAAUGAAAGAUCUGCAGCUACCAAGGAGUAUUCAGUGCAUAGGACCAGGCCAGAUCUCCUUCAGAGCACGUCCCUUGCAGUGCGGACCACUGAGCUGCAUUAGAUGUUUUAUUCCCCAGCUCCCACUGGACCACUCUGCUCUAGACAGAGCCAGGUGUUUCCAGCUAUAGCUCCCCCAGCCUUGAGGAGACGUUAGCUGACCUUUAGCGCUGAAUUUACGCAAAGUUGGGAAUUUAUUAGCUAACAGAGCAGGCUGAUAGGAGUGUUGAAUGCUUGCAGACUGUUCGCAUAAUCCGAGAGUACGUGUGCAAUGUUUCCGUGCAGGUGAUAUGAUGUAAUAGCCAAAGGCAGAGGAAAGAAUCAAGGAAAUGAAUGACAGCAACAAAUCCACCUUUCCUGUUCAGGCUGUGGGCCUCAAGAGGUCUCUACACCAACCUUCUGCUUCUUGUAUCUUCUGACCAAGCUGCUUAGAACUUUGUCCAGCAGGGUCUUGAAAACGUCUAUGAAUGGAGAGAGCACAACUUACCUGGGCAACCUGUGCCAACUUGAUUGGUGAUGUUUUUUCCCCUUAAAUCAGAACCUCCAUAUACGACUGUUACCUCUCAUCCUGCUGCUGUGCACCUCAGUAGAGAGUUUUGCUCUUGGAUUUCCCUUCAAGCCUUCUGACUGGAUGCAGUUCCCUCAGCCUCUCCUUACAGGGCAUGUGCUUCCACUCCCACACCAAAUUCACUGCCCUCAACUGCACUCACUGCAAUUUGUCAACUUCUUUUUCAUACUGGGGGGCCCCAGAGUGUGAUGUGGUUUUCCAGGUGUGAUCUAACAAGUUCUGAGUAAAGAGAACUAAUAAUUCUUUUGAUCUACUGGCUUCAUGCCUGUAAAAACAACCUAGAAUGUCUUUAUAAAGUCCAUGGCUGGGCCUUAACUGCCCUGACGCCCUCACUUGGGACUUUAGCAUCUGGAGUACUAUAGGUUUGCCUGUGCCAGGUCCUGUCUCCUAUUGCCUUGGCUUAUCCGUUGGCCUUCCUUGAUGGACCUGUGUAAUAAAUAGCCUUGCCUCCAACCCUUUCUCCUGCAUGGACCUUUUCUCUGUCUUCUGCUGUUCCUGGCUGGACUUUCUGUCUGGACUCUGGACAUGACUCAUCUCACCUUGCCUUGGACUCUCAAGACCUAUGACUACCCAGCCGGAUCCAAUGGAACUGCACCCAGGUUGGUGAGGCCAUUACCUUGCUUGUCCUGUGGUCAGCUUCGGUUCCCAGCUUAUCCACCCUCAUGAAGUGGCCCUGCUCAUGUUGUCCUUGACACAGUCCACCAGGAGCUCCAGAUUCCUUUUUCAGUGAGUGUUCAGUCUAUACUGCUGCAGUGGUUAUUCCAUUUUAGGUAAGGUAUGACCCACAGGAUCCAUCCAUCAGUUCCCUGAAUAGGCAUAGUGUUUUGAUCAAUCUGUAUCUUUCCUCUUUCCCCUGAAGUUGUCUGUUUGAGCACACUUCAGCAUGUUCAUUAAAUCCACUUCUCUUUUACAAGUGAUAUGACAUGUGCAAUGAAAUCGUGCAUUUUGCCAUAUCAUCAUGAGGUGUAUCUUGCCCUCAUUUUCAAUGAAAGGAUUGAGUGGAGUAAUCUUCAGUAAAAAUGAACGUGUUCAAGUAGUCAUAUUUUCUGUCAGCUGUAUUACAAUCCUAACGUUCUCUUGGCUAGUCUUAGGAAAGCUGAUUGUUCAUUUGUCUUGUCAGAGUGAAUGCUGAAGCUAUUUCUGCUGUUGGCUAAAAAAGAUGCAUCACGUUCUUCCUUCAUGCUUCCCUCUUUUGUGGUGUUAAUACUCUUAAAAUAGUUCAAAGCUUUUGGACUUGUUGCCAAAAGAAUAUUGUUGGCAGUGGAGCUUGUGCUUCCUGCUCUAGCAGUCCUCCUCUAGCUUGCUUUCUCCCACAUCUGAAAACAGCUAACUACUGCUAAAGAAUAAAAUGUUAAGGAAAAUGAACCCACAGUUGGUAGUAAAACAGUUGUGACUUAGGUUUUUUUGGUUUUGUUUUAAAUAUGUAAUCAGUCCUGUGCAUGCAUACAAUAAAAGUAGGAAGGAUCUGUUGUAGUCAGGAGCAUCUAACAAAGUCUAGAGUAAGGAAAUAGAAGUGACUGAGCUAGAUGAAGUAAGGAAAUCAAAGUCAGUAGGGAAGUGGAUCACUCGUAUGAAAGUGCAAUGACAAUUGCAAGCAUGCAAGUGGCAAGCUUGGGAGGAAUUAAUCUUUCAUCACUGGUUAGGUAGGAGCUUUAGAAACCAUCCUCUCAUCAGGACAUGCAUCUUGAUUUAUUUUCUAUGCUUGAUGUCAUGGUGUUCCUAAGAUUGUUUUCCAAUUGUUUUUAAGAGAUGUCUUCCCACAUAACCUGAAUUUAUAUUUUCAGGAGACCUCAUUUCUCUGGCCAGGAUGUCCAGUUUUCUUCCUUUCCUGGGCACCUUUUUUCCUAACACCUACCUUCGCUGGCUGGAUUUCUGCAGCAAUUCCUGUAGGAAAUUCUGUAAAGAAAUUGCAAAUAAAUUCUGCAAUAAAUUCCUGCAAUACUUCCUGA